CAUUUACAUUGAAUAAGACCCAAUCAAGGAAUUAAUUUUUUAAGAAAUCUUAUUAUAUCAUAAUUUUCAAUAUUAUCCUUAAAUUAAAUGAAAAAGUUUAACAACAAUAUUACCUUUUGCAUAAUGGUUAAUUAAUUUUUAAUUCUCUUUUGAAUAUCCCGAAAUAAAAAGAUCGAAUAAUUUAUAUAAUAAUAAUGUAGCAUAAUUACUCUUUUAAUAAGUUAUUAGUGAUGAAAUAUCUACAAUUUUUAUGAUAUCUGGAUUAAAUAUAAAUAUAUAUAGUAUAAGUUAAAUACUCAAAUAAAAAGUUAUAUGAUUUUUUAUAAAAUUAAUAAUUGAUUAUUUUUUCUUAAAGGAAUUUUUUAAUUUCAAACUUAGAUUAAUAUAAUUCUCUAUAUUUUAAUUUAAAUUAUAUUUAUAUUUUGUGUAAUCAAUUAAUAAAAUAAUUAAUGAUUAAAUUAGUAUAAAAACAUCAAUAAAACAUAUUAAUGAACUCGUCCUUAUUUAAUCAACUGUUUAUCAAAAACAUAGCCUAGAGAAUAAUAUUUUAGGUAAGUUCUGCUCAAUGGAGUAUUAAAUAGCCGCAGUACUUUGACUGUGCUAAGGUAGCAUAAUCAAUUGUCUUUUAAUUGGGGACUAGAAUGAAUGAAUUUAUGGUUAAAUACUUUAUUCAUAUGUUUAUUUAAAAAUUUUUUAUUAGGUGAAAAGACCUAAAAAAUUAUAUUAGACGAGAAGACCCCAGGAAUUUAUAUUAUUUUUUAUUGGGGCGAUAACUAAACAUCUUAAACUUUAGUUUUUAUUUAUACAACGAAUAAUUUUAAUGAAGAAUAAAUUACCCUGGGGAUAACAGCAUAAUUUUUAUUAAAGAUUGUGACCUCGAUGUUGGAUUAGAAAAUAUUUUACUUAAAGAGUAAGAGUUAUUGUUCUGUUCGAACACUUUUAAUUUCUACAUGAUCUGAGUUCAGACCGGCGUAAGCCAGGUCAGUUUCUAUCUUUUUUUGUUUAUUUAGUAGUACGAAAGGACCCUAUUUAAUUUUUAGUGUUUAGGUAGUUUAUAAAAAAAAUCUUAACUUUGGAAGUUAAUGAACGAUAGAAAAUCGCUU
rnacentral:rRNA from 1 species